GAUGAACGCUGGCGGCGUGCUUAACACAUGCAAGUCGAACGGAAAGGCUCCUGCUUGCAGGGGUACUCGAGUGGCGAACGGGUGAGUAACACGUGGGUGAUCUGCCCAGCACUUCGGGAUAAGCCUGGGAAACUGGGUCUAAUACCGGAUAGGACGAUGGUUUGGAUGCCAUUGUGGAAAGUUUUUGCGGUGUGGGAUGAGCUCGCGGCCUAUCAGCUUGUUGGUGGGGUAAUGGCCUACCAAGGCGUCGACGGGUAGCCGGCCUGAGAGGGUGUACGGCCACAUUGGGACUGAGAUACGGCCCAGACUCCUACGGGAGGCAGCAGUGGGGAAUAUUGCACAAUGGGCGCAAGCCUGAUGCAGCGACGCCGCGUGGGGGAUGACGGCCUUCGGGUUGUAAACUCCUUUCGCUAGGGACGAAGCGCAAGUGACGGUACCUGGAGAAGAAGCACCGGCUAACUACGUG
rnacentral:rRNA from 1 species